GUAGGGUGCGAGCGUUAAUCGGAAUUACUGGGCGUAAAGCGUGCGCAGGCGGUCCGCUAAGACCGAUGUGAAAUCCCCGGGCUUAACCUGGGAACUGCAUUGGUGACUGGCGGGCUAGAGUGUGGCAGAGGGGGGUAGAAUUCCACGUGUAGCAGUGAAAUGCGUAGAGAUGUGGAGGAAUACCGAUGGCGAAGGCAGCCCCCUGGGCUAACACUGACGCUCAUGCACGAAAGCGUGGGGAGCAAACAGGAUUAGAUACCCUGGUAGUCCACGCCCUAAACGAUGUCAACUAGUUGUUGGGGAUUCAUUUCCUUAGUAACGUAGCUAACGCGUGAAGUUGACCGCCUGGGGAGUACGGUCGCAAGAUUA
rnacentral:rRNA from 1 species